CUGAAAUUGUCGUCAAUAAACAGGAACGUCAGGGCAGGCAGAAGGUCAAAACCAGAAUAACAGUCCAAUUUAACAACACUUACAGGGGCAAUCCAGAAGGCUAAAGUGAGCAGGCAGGCAAAAGGUCCAAACACAUACAUCUGAUCAGGCAAACUAAGCAAGGGGGAUAAUCCAGGUAAUCGUUAGGUAGGUAAACAGGCAGAAUCAUACACUGAACAGGCAAUCAGGAUAUAAAGAGAAAACGCUUGGUAAGGCAGGUUAACUGGCAAUACUUCGCAAUGAGCAUGAGCACAGUCUCUGGCUAUAAAGCAACCAAACAGGAAAUGAGUGUAGAGGAAGCAGAGGGAGUGGAACACAGUCAGUACUCUGGUGAGGGCUUCCUCUGCUGGCUUGGCAUUACAGAACCCCCAC